rnacentral:rRNA from 1 species
CGGCCAGGUAAAUUUCUUGUGAAAUUGUUCAGCUCAACUGAAUAGCGCGCAAGAAAGACUGCUUGGCUAGGGACCGGAAGGAGCGUGAGGUAUUCCUUGGGGAGCGGUAAAAUGUUAUAAUCCUUGGAAGACCACCUGUGGCGAAGGCGUCACGCUAGGACGGAUCCGACGGUGAGGGACGAAAGCUAAGAUAGCAAUCCGGAUUAGAUACCCGAGUAGUCUUAGCCGUAAACGUUGCGAGCUAGGUGUUGCAUAUUCUUCGUGAAUAUGCAGUAUCGAAGCGAAGGUGAUAAGCUCGCCGCCUGGGGA